UCUAAAGUCCUGUGCACAUAACGGGUAGAGCGCACUCCAAGGCGGCUUCUUCAGGGCGCCAGCUGGAACGGGAGGCAGCGCGAGCCCAGAACACCCCACAAGCUGAGCAUGCAGGAGGCGCCCAUCCACAGCCACCCCACGGCUGCUGAAUGAGGCUUCUAGGCGUCCACCCGCGGCCCGCAGCGCCCCGCCGGAGGGGCGCCCGCUGAGGCGCGGCAGCUCUGCUGACAGCCCCUGUGCUCACCUGCUCCCUUGCGCGCCAUGGGGCACCUUGGGAACGGCAGCGACUUCUUGUUGGCGCCCAACACAAGCUACGCGCCAGACCGCAACGUCACGCAGGAACGGGACGAGGCAUGGGUGGUGGGCAUGGCCAUCGUCAUGUCGCUCAUCGUCCUGGCCAUUGUGUUUGGCAACGUGCUGGUCAUCACGGCCAUUGCCAAGUUCGAGCGCCUGCAGACGGUCACCAACUACUUCAUCACCUCACUGGCCUGCGCCGACCUAGUCAUGGGCCUCGCAGUGGUGCCAUUUGGGGCCAGCCACAUCCUCAUGAAAAUGUGGACUUUUGGCAACUUCUGGUGCGAGUUUUGGACUUCCAUUGAUGUGUUGUGCGUCACCGCCAGCAUCGAGACUUUGUGCGUGAUCGCAGUGGAUCGAUACUUUGCCAUUACGUCACCUUUCAAGUAUCAGAGCCUGCUGACCAAGAAUAAGGCCCGGGUGGUCAUCCUGAUGGUGUGGGUUGUGUCGGGACUCACGUCCUUCUUGCCCAUCCAGAUGCACUGGUACCGGGCCACCCACCAGGAAGCCAUCAACUGCUAUGCCAAGGAGACCUGCUGUGACUUCUUCACGAACCAAGCCUAUGCCAUUGCCUCCUCCAUCGUGUCCUUCUACUUACCCCUGGUGGUCAUGGUCUUUGUCUACUCCAGGGUCUUCCAAGUGGCCAAAAGGCAGCUCCAAAAGAUUGACAGAUCUGAGGGCCGAUUCCACACUCAAAAUCUCAGCCAGGUGGAGCCGGAUGGGAGGAGUGGGCAUGGAAUUCGCAGGUCUUCCAAGUUCUACUUGAAAGAACACAAAGCUCUCAAGACCUUAGGCAUCAUCAUGGGCACUUUUACCCUCUGCUGGCUGCCCUUCUUCAUUGUCAACAUUGUGCAUGUCAUUCGGGACAACCUCAUCCCUAAGGAAGUUUACAUCCUCCUAAACUGGGUGGGCUAUGUCAAUUCUGCUUUUAAUCCCCUCAUCUACUGCCGGAGUCCAGAUUUCAGGAUUGCCUUCCAGGAGCUGCUGUGUCUGCGCAGGCCUUCUUUGAAGGCUUAUGGGAAUGGCUACUCCAGCAACAGCAACGGCAAAACGAACUACACCGGGGAGCCGAGUGUGUGUCACCAGGGGCAGGAGAAAGAAAGGGAACUGCUGUGUGAGGACCCCCCAGGCACAGAAGACUUUGUGACCUGUCCAGCACCUUUCUAUUUUUGCCUGUGUGUCUGAACCAGAGCUUGGCCCAGGUUUCAUGGCGUGGAUCGUCCUCCUUGGCAACACCAGACUGGGAAGGAUCAGCCCACAGGGUUUUCAUACCUUCUGUCACAUUCUCCUCCUGCUGCUCUGGGCUCACCCGCAGAGAUGGCUGGCCAGCUUCUUUGCACUCCCCAGAGCCUCACAGGAUCUUGGAUUUGGAAGAGCUCAUCACCUAAAGAGACUGAAGGGUGUGAGGGGAAUGAGCUCUCCCAGGUAAGUAACCACAGAUGCUGUGUAGAACUGAGAGGAGGGGACCCAGCUCCCAGGCCGGGACCUGCUGCCUACCAGGACCACAUUGUUACUGGAUUCUGCCCUCACCCUCGACUGUGGAGGGGCAGUAACAUAGCAAGUGUAUUUCAGUGGAUAUUUCUAUUUCUUUUGCCCUCAUCCUCAACUGUGGAGGGGCUAUAAUAUAGCAAAUGUAUUUCGGGGGAUAUUUCUAUUUCUUUUGGAUCAUUAACACAAAGUUCAGAGAAUGAACAAAUAAUCUUCAAUAGUGACUAUUUGUUUUACUCAGCAAGAAUCUAUAUCCUCUGCUUUUAUGGAAAUUGAGAGACCCUUUUUUUUGGUACUGGGGAUCGAACUCUGACCUUGCGCUUUCAAGGCAGGCACCGGAACCACUGAGCUAAAUCUCCGCCCCUGAGAGACCCUUUUUAACUCUUUAUGACAUGGAAAGAAUUUCAAACCAUUCUAGGUAGAAAUUUCCCACAGUCUUCAAUUUUUAAAAAAAUUGGAGACUUGUCAUUAUUUGUAA